AAUGAUGCAUACAAUCAGACCACCUUGUUGAUUCAACUAAUUUAUUAACGCUUCUCUUCACACAGACACUGUACUCAGCAGGUAGUGUAGCUCUUCAACCAAGUCAUCUACUGCUAUUGAUGGAACAUGAAACAUGUUUUGUAAUUUCAAUAGAACAGAGGCAAGUUAGUAUCUGCUCCAACAAUGGCAGUAAAGGACCUGCUCUUUUUUCUAGAUCUAAGACAAACAAACAAACUACAGGCUCAACAACAUUCCUUACAUCUGUAUCUGCUGGAACGAUCGCAGUAAUGGGAUAUAUUGAAAGGACAGAACAAACUCUACAGGCUCAACAACAUUAAACAUAUAGUAGUAGAACAUAGUUAACUGAGCACCUUCCGUUUCUAGCUUUCUGUGUGUUCGAUGUGUGAAUCUUCAAGGUUGUGAACGUACUGGAACACUAUAAAACACAUGGUUAUCAGCAUGUAUGGGCGGUUUCUUCCUGUACUUCCUCCUCCCAUCACCACCCCACCCCAAAAAAAGAGUCACCUGAGCAAUUUGAGUUUCAGUGCUCGUACUUUGGGGGAAGGCUUGGACGAUUCCAGGUCCAUCAGGAUCUUCUGGUAAGCUUCGAAUGUAUACUUCAAGUUUUUUGGAUAGCUUAAAUUAAGAGCAUAGAUCAACCCAUAAAGCAUUACGCAUGCAUGGUUGAUACUUUUGAGGUUGUUGAGGUUGUUUGACCCCUUUCAGGACCAUACCGACAUCUGCAAAGAGUCCACCAGGACCAUCAUGAUCAUCACCCUCAGCUUGAACGGUGUAGAUUGCCAUGGUUGUCCCUGCGACAUCUGCCUCGGCCUCACUGCAUUCGAUGUCCUGAAAGAUGGAGGGAACAGAGAACAAUGAGCUGUGUCACCCUCACCUUUGACCACCAAAUUCUAAGCAGCUCAUCAUUGAGGCCAAAUAUCAGCCCUAAAUACAAUACAAGGUAUGGUAAAGGAUGAAGACAGGAAUUGCAUUAUCUUUGUAAACCUCAUUGUAGA
ensembl:lncRNA